rnacentral:lncRNA from 1 species
UGUAGGCUGAGGGCUCAGUGCAACAAAAACUUGAGUUGCCCACAGAACAGCUACUCUGAUUCAGAUGAAAGCUGGGGAGGACUUCGGUCCUUCUUGGAAAAUACUUGUGCUUUUUUGUUGAUUGUUCUUGUUCCCAACAGAGACAGAAGUGAACUAAUCUCCCAAACUGGGAUGCUCAGAGAUGUCCAAAGUGAGAUAGGACUGGCAAGAAUACAAUACACAGAUUAAUAAGGAAGUCAUUAAGGGAUAGAAAAGCUCUGAUGUGAUGGAGUGGCUUUUAGUUUGAAGAAAAAUAGAAUGUCUUGCUCCUGAGUACCCUGAACAAUGAAGAUGAAGAUACCUGUUCCAGAAAGUAGACUUGGACCCCCAAGUUGUUUCAUACUUAGGUCCUGGGAAAUUAACUGCAAGGAGCCACUGUAAGGUGCUAGACCUGAAGUUCCCAUCCUGUGGUCCAAGAAAAGCUGGCACAUCACAUGGAACAUUUACUUUUGGCUCAGGAAGAGACCACAAGAUGCACUGUUUGUUACUGAAGUGAUAGUACUUUUGCCCUGGGCACCUUACUUCAGAGGAAAGAUGCUUCCCAAAACAGUUUUCAGCCACUGAUCUUUCAGCUCCGUGGUACGUAGAUUUGGAGUGGCAGAGUUGCACAUGAAGCAUGUAGGAUGAGGUGCCACGUGGCAACAGCUUUCUCUUCUGGCUGUGCUGAGGAGCUCUCAGCACACUGUACUCCCACCUGCCAUUGCAGCAGCUCAUGUGUGGAGGCACCUCUGGAGAACACCAGGUCCAAACCCCAGCCCAAAGCAGCGCCUCCUGGAACUACACAGGGCCAUGGCUGAGUGAGAUCACAAUGGUGGCUGAGAAAUCUUUGUUGCUCCCUUUUCUCCCAUCAGCAACACUCAUAUCCAGGCUGAAUAAAUCCUUCAACAGCAUUCUUUGCUUGUGGCCGUUUGAUGUGCUUCCAAGCAGCUACAAACAUGGGAGACACCCAAACUGCUUAGUGCCAGAAAGGCUGAAACUGCACUGCCAUGGGAGCCUGAACGGCAGAGGGGCCACCUGGCAGUGCCCUGCAGGACCCAAGGUGCUCACCCACCCACUACGCAAGAAGCUCCUCAUGUCCUUCCGCUCUGCGGUGGGCAGCACCUGGAGUGCCUUUCCUAGCUCUGAUUCUAUUCUUCUGCUCCAAAGCAACAAGCCAAACUCCCCACCAGCAUUCAACCUCCGUGCCAAAAAGAAAAUAACAAGAGUAAAAGCACUGCACAACAGAAACACAUAGGACAGUGAAGAGGCUGGGAUUGCUGGGGAGUCCAGCAUAGUCGCGUCGGGGUGCUCAGGUCGGUGCUGCUGCAGCAUUCAUCCAGGCCAAUGGGGAAGGUAGGUGGUUGGUGGCUGUGAGCACCUCCCCUGGAUGGAAAAUGACACCUCUGCACAGCUCUGGACAUUUCUGAAUGCCACAGGAGGUUGGGGAGACCAGCCCAGCUGGAAAGAGGGUAGACAUGCUCCAGCAUCAAUGCCAUCAGCUCUGACAAGGUCCUGGCUGGCUGCAGCACGCUGAUGUCCUCAUAAACCAAGGCUCUCUCUCUGAUGGCUGUGCAAACGAGAAGCUGGGCUUAACUGGAGCACAGUGCUGUUGCUGGCUUUAACUCUCCAAUGAACUCUCCAAUUCCCAUUUUCCCAGGGCAGUUCAGCGCCAGGGUAAAUCAGUGCAUGUGUGCAGCCCUGCUGCCAGCUGGCUGCUCCUGCCUGCAGCGGUGUCUGGUCACAGCUCUGGGGAUGUGCCCUGCAAGUCCCCCCUUGGCAGCACCUCCUGCCUGCCACGCUCACUUCCUUCAGCCUUUGCCUUUCUCCCUGCUCUGGUCCUCUGACUUCAGAACAUGGCUUUCUGUUUUAGUUCACUUCUGUAUUUAUACUGGGCCAAACUGACUGGAUACUUUCUGAACAGGGUGACCUAGGAGUUUUGAACAGACCAUCUUGUCAAAAGUUCUGUUAUUUCCCUUACCAAUGUGGUUUGAUUUGUUUUAUUUUCUUUUUUCUUGGUAAAACUGUCAAUAGGAACCACUUUUUGAAAGUCAGAAGAUGCAAAGCAGACCUUCCACAAGGAUUCCCCAAGGAGCAGAGAAUUUGAGGAUCACUGCGAAGGGCAUCAUUGCUCCUUGCUGUUCAUCCCAAACUGUCUUCAUUCUCUCACCCUGUGUAUUCCUGCACAACGGGACUGAGGGAAGUGCAUGAGAUCUAUUGCUGAACUGUGGUGUGGAUAGACUUUGUCUUCCUCAGCUAGCAUUCUGUCACCUUUCAAGAGUGAAAAAUUCAUUUUUAAAACAAAAAUCCCAAGUAAGAAACCUCACAUAGUUGCAGGAAACCACCACAGAGGUAUACAAUAUCCAGCGGAAGACCUUGCUGAAAACUGAACAGAUUACUCUUGUUAUAUGUGGUUAAACUGGGCCAUUAAUGCUAAAACAGUUCAAAGCACAAAAUAAAUUCUGAUUUUCUCCUGUCAAAGUUGGUGGUUUGGUGUUCACACAUUCUAGGCUCCGGUUAAAUGAUUUACUGUACAAUUUAAUGCCUUUCAGCUGUCACUCGCAAAAAGGAUCCCUUGAAUGAUCUGCCAGUGAAUGAAGGCAGCACUUGCCCAGGGUGAAGUGUGGCCAGGGCUGCAGGACCCAACUUGCCAAGAUACUCAGGAACAAUCACGUAAGCCACUGUGACCCAUGUGUGGUACCCAGCGAAGUGAAGGCCACCUUGCUGUGAUCACAUCUGCAAAACCACUUCAUUUAAAGCAUACUGAGACGUUCACUCUGCUGUGGAACUUUUACGAGCAACUGCCUUUACAACAGCUCGCACCAUAGGCACGCUGCUAUUCUUUGUCCUUCUUUUGAACUCUUCUCUGCUCCCGGUCUUCCAGCGGUGUGAUUUUUUGAAGUUUUCCUUCACAAUAGCUUCUCAAAAUCCCAGUUCUCACAUAUCAACACAAAUAGGAGAAACAGUUGCCAUGGGACAGUGAAAAACAUAUUUCAGGAGCUCAGGAGCAAAGAAGGAAAUAAAAAAGGCACUGGAUUUCAGCAGUUACGUGUUGUAGUGUUUGACGUAGCUCUGAGUUCUUUGCUUUGUCUCUAGCUGCAGUGGUACUGUGCCUCUCAUGUUCAGCAGUGGGUGCACUCAGCAGUGGGUGCAGCUCUUAGCAGUGACCUCAUGGGGACACAGCAGUGCCCAGCACUGCAGCCAUGUUCUGUGGAACAGAGAGAAUACUGGUGUCACCUAAAACU